CAGUCAAUGUCCUUUUAUUUACAUCAUUGGCUGAGUAUAUUAUGAGAAUUUGGUGAACUGAUCCAUGCAUAUAGUACAGUUUGAAUUUCCAACAGAUCAGAACCUUCAUUAUGGCAGAUGGCACAAUAAUGCAACUGUGUACUGCGAAACGUUAAAAACGACUGAGGAACUUAUCUAGUAAUUCAACAUAAAGCAUGAACAGAUAUGAUCAUUUAUGUACUGUAAACAGCCUUGUAUUCCCACAAGGUUCAAAUGUUUAUCCAUAUAUUGAUAUUGAAUUAUAGAAACAAACGAAAACCAUACAUUUUUCCACUCCAAUUAAUACAUAAGUCUGAAUUUACAUAAACGUAUAAACCACACAGCUUAAUAUGAGCAUGAAAGUGUUCUAGAAUAUGUACACACGACUACAUUUACAAUAAUACACUGGGUGAGAGCCAGAAAUCGUUGAUACUGUCAUCGCCAGUACAACCAACUUGCACUUAAUAGAACAAAGCACAUAGAGAGAAAUCACGGUCAAUCUUAAAAUUCAGAAUUCAGAUAAUAAUGGCUUAUCAUGUGAACUUGCAUACGGUUGUAGCAAUAGUAACAUACGAGUGCCUCAGCACUAGUUUUACAGAAUUUGAUUUGUCUAAAUAAACGGAUCAGGGUUUGGAUUUUUCAUUCUCCCCAUUAUCAUUACAGGUUGGUGUCUUCUCUUGUUGUCCCUGGGUCCUGUUCAUUAGGGCACAGAACGGGAAAUGUUUUAAAAUGCUCUGCAACGGAAAAUGUGAAUAAUUGUUUCUUAUUGGACAAGCCCUCGUAGUCCCUCCCUGUUUCAGUCAGUUUUUCCCUGUUUGGUACCUAAUGAACACGACGCAGGUUAAAACAGUUAUACAAUCUAAAUGAUGGAUAGCAAACAAUCAGAUAUGGCUUCAGACUAAAAUAUGAAAGCAAGAUGAUGAAACAUCGAUGGAGGCCUUUGGGCGAUGUGAUUGUCUGGGUGGCAGUGCUCACAGGGACGUUUCCAGGGUUACCAGGGGCAAGCACAGGUCAAUAGUGAGGAACCGGGUGAUGGAGAGUUGGAGAGAGUGGGUAGGGGUGGUGGGGGAUCACAUGGUGGACCCUCUUUCUCCCCUGUGGUUUGGGGUAGUCUUCUUAUUGGUGGAAGGGUUUGUUGCAGUCCUCUUGUUGGUGGACAGGUUUGGUGCGGUCUUCUUAUUGGUGGACAGGCAGAGAGAAAUGCCCCUUCUUCCCAGAGGUACUCUUGGACCCUCUAUGGGGGUCCAAUCAGAGUCUGCUCCUCCCUGGGCUCUUUCUCUCCACUUCUCUCUUUCUCUCUCCAUCUCUGUCGCUCUCUGCUGUGUGUAUUAAUGUCUUCUCAGAUUGUGCUCCUCGGUGCAGGAACCUUUUCUCAAGGUGAUGUCAUCCACAGCCAUCUCUCCGCUCCGGCCACGCCCGCGCUCGCCCUUCAGGAUCACCUGGGAACAACAACACAGCACAAUAAAUAAGUUAUUUCGCUUAUAUAGCACUUUCGAAUACAAAAUGUAAUCUCAAAGCAAAAAAAACAAAAAAAAACAGGUACAACUAAUUAUCAAAAUGGAAUGUGAAUGGUGUCUAGUCAGCUUCAGACAGAGGUAGUAUGGAAAGGCAGUCUGCUGUGACUUGAGAGGAGGGGGGCAUCGAUGGUUAGCCAGGGAGAAAGGCAGUCUCUGGUAUGACUUGAGAGGAGGGGGGCAUCGAUGGUUAGCCAGGGAGAAAGGAAGUCUCUGGUAUGACUUGAGAGGAGGGGGGCAUCGAUGGUUAGCCAGGGAGAAAGGCAGUCUCUGGUAUGACUUGAGAGGAGGGGGGCAUCGAUGGUUAGCCAGGGAGAAAGCCCUUCACCAGGAGAGAGCUCUUCACCUGGGCACUUCGCCAUCUCAGACAAUCAUAGAACCUCCAUAGCGUAGUAGUUGAACAUCAAUUGAGGACAACCAUGAUUCAAACACACACACCAAUAACCAAUGUACUGUAUCAGUUGUUGCUAAAGGUCAGUCACAGAUGGCAAAGACAAGUCAGGUGUGGUGUCAGACAUACUACUGUAUACUGUUUUAUACUUUAGGAACAGCUGCUCUUUCUAUGGCAUAGACUGAUCAGGUGAAAGCUAUGAUCUCUUAUUUUUGUUACAUGUUAAAUCCACUUCAAUCAUCAGUGUAGAUGAAGGGGAGGAAGGAUUUUCAAGCCUUGAGACAAUUGAGACAUGGAUUGUGUAUGUGUGCCAUUCAGAGGGUGAAUGGGCAAGAUAAAAUAUUUGAGUGCCUUGUAUGGGGUAUGGUACUAGGUGCCAGGUGCACCGGUUUGAGUGUGUCAAGAACUGCAAUGCUGCUGUUUUUUAAAAAUUUCAACAGUUUCCCGUGUGUAUUAAGAAUGGUCCACCAGCUAAAGGACAUUCAGCCAACUUGAUACAACUGUGGGCAUUGGAGUCAACACGUGUCAGCAUCCCUGUGGAACACUUUCGGCACCUUGUAGAGUCCAAGAAUUGUGGCUGAUCUGAGGGAAUAAAGGGGUGCAACUUAAUAUUAGGUGUUCUGUAUAUAUACUACUGUAUACGGCUUUACACUCUCUAUAUACUACUGUCACCUGUUUUACUCUCUUUAUACUACUGUAUACUUCUUUACACUCUUUAUUUACUUCUUUAUACUGCUUUACACUCUCUAUAUACUACUGUCACCUGUUUUACUCUCUUUAUA
ensembl:lncRNA